rnacentral:misc_RNA from 1 species
GAUGAAGAACGUAGCGAAAUGCGAUACGUAAUGUGAAUUGCAGAAUUCAGUGAAUCAUCGAAUCUUUGAACGCAUAUUGCGCUCUCUGGUAUUCCGGAGAGCAUGCUUGUUUGAGUAUCAGUAAACACCUCAACUUCCAUAUCUUUUUUGAAAUGGGAGUUGGACUUGAGUGAUCCCAACGCUUUUCCUCUCCGAAAAGUGGCGGGUUACUUGAAAUGCAGGUGCAGCUGGACUUUUCUCUGAGCUAUAAGCAUAUCUAUUUAGUCUGCCUAAAAAACAGAUUAUUACCUUUGCUGCAGCUAACAUAAAGGAGAUUAGUUCUUGUGCUGACUGAUGCAGGAUUCACAAAGACAGGCUUCGGCCGACUUUGUAAACUCGAUCUCAACUCAAGUAAGACUACCCGCUGAACUUAAGCAUAUCAAUAAGCGGAGGA